rnacentral:rRNA from 1 species
AGCAGGCGCGUAAAUUGCCCAAUCUUCAAUCCUGAGGGAGGUAAUGACAAGAAAUAACGAAUCAGUGCAUCAUUGCUCUGCAUUCGGAAUGAGCGCAACCUAAACACUCUGACGAGUAACUAUUGGAGGGCAAGUCUGGUGCCAGCAGCCGCGGUAAUUCCAGCUCCAAUGGCAUAUACGAAUUUUGCUGCAGUUAAAACGCUCGUAGUCGAAAUAAUGCACAACAGUGUUGUGUCCUUCCGUACGACAGCAAUGUUUGUCGGUUGGAUGCUUCCGUUGCGUGCCUGCUUUUAUGCGGGUGAGACUUUACUGUCUCCUUGCCUUGAGCAAAUCAGAGUUCUCAAACCAAAUCAUGUGAUUUUGAAUGAGUAAGCAUGGGAUAAUAAGUACCAUGGGUCUUAUUGGUAACAAUACGAUACAUGAUUAAUAGGGACAAUCGGGGGCAUUAGUAUUGGAUGGCGAGAGGUGAAAUUCUUAGACCCAUUCAAGACUAACUACUGCGAAAGCAUCUGCCAAGGGUGUUUUCAUUGAUCAAGAGCGAAGGUGAGGGGAUCGAAGACGAUCAGAUACCGUCGUAGUCCUCACCGUAAACGAUGCCGACCAUUUUACGGGUUUGCACAUACAUCUUCACAAACUCGUGAACCGUUAGAAAUAGCGAGUCCCUAGGUUCUGGGGGGAGUAUGGUCGCAAGACUGAAACUUAAAGGAAUUGACGGAAGAGCACCACCAGGGGUGGAGCUUGCGGCUUAAUUUGACUCAACACGG